AAGUGAGGACGACCUCACCGCUCCAUCUUUUCUUCGGGGACGACCCCA
rfam:Vibrio sp. 2756-81 Vn_2756-81_contig2, whole genome shotgun sequence.